rnacentral:tRNA from 1 species
AAUAAAGUGCCUGAAGAAAAGGGCUAUCUUGAUAGGAUAGAUCAUACAAGCAAUUGUCUUUAUUA